rnacentral:snoRNA from 11 species
CUUGCAUGGUGGGUAUGGAGGCUGAAAAACUCAGAAAGUUAGGUGUUGUAAUCAGCUUCUUCUCCCCUUUACCACGAGACUGGAGUUAAAUGCCAUCACUACAUUA